rnacentral:rRNA from 1 species
UCCAGACUCCUACGGGAGGCAGCAGUGGGGAAUAUUGCACAAUGGGGGAAACCCUGAUGCAGCAACGCCGCGUGGGUGAAGGAGCGUUUCGGCGCGUAAAGCCCUAUCAGCAGGGAAGAAAGAAGACGGUACCUGACUAAGAAGCCCCGGCUAACUACGUGCCAGCAGCCGCGGUAAUACGUAGGGGGCGAGCGUUAUCCGGAUUCACUGGGUGUAAAGGGAGCGUAGACGGCCGUGCAAGCCAGGAGUGAAAGCCCGGGGCCCAACCCCGGGACUGCUCUUGGAACUGUGCGGCUGGAGUGCGGGAGGGGCAGGCGGAAUUCCUGGUGUAGCGGUGAAAUGCGUAGAUAUCAGGAGGAACACCGGCGGCGAAGGCGGCCUGCUGGACCGCGACUGACGUUGAGGCUCGAAAGCGUGGGGAGCGAACAGGAUUAGAUACCCGAGUA